rnacentral:rRNA from 1 species
AUUGAACGCUGGCGGCAGGCCUAACACAUGCAAGUCGAGCGGAGCGGCGGACGGGUGAGUAAUGCCUAGGAAUCUGCCUGGUAGUGGGGGAUAACGUCCGGAAACGGGCGCUAAUACCGCAUACUAUCAGAUGAGCCUAGGUUGGCUUAGCUAGUUGGUGGGGUAAAGGCCUACCAAGGCGACGAUCCGUACCUGGUCUGAGAGGAGGAUCAGUCACACUGGAACUGAGACACGGUCCAGACUCCUACGGGAGGCAGCAGGGGGGAAUAUUGGACAAGGGGCGAAAGACUGAUCCAGCCAUGCCGCGUGUGGGAAGAAGGGCUUCGGGUUGCAAAGCACUUUAAGUUGGGAGGCGUUACCAACAGAAUAAGCACCGGCUAAUUUCGUGCAAGCAGCCGCGGUAAUAC